AAACGUAGGGGGCAAGCGUUGUCCGGAAUUACUGGGCGUAAAGCGCGCGCAGGUGGGUAGGUAAGACAGACGUGAAAGGCUAGAGCUAAACUGUAGCAUUGCGUAUGAGACAGCCUAUCUUGAGUACAGCAGAGGAAAGUGGAAUUCCCGGUGUAGUGGUGGAAAUGCGUAGAUAUCGGGAGGAAUACCAGUGGCGAAGGCGGCUUUCUGGGCUGUUACUGACGCUGAGGCGCGAAGGCGUGGGGAGCGAACCGAAUUAGAUACUCGGGUAGUCCACGCGGUAAACGAUGGACACUAGGUGUGGGGGGUAUCGACCCCCUCCGUGCCGAAGCGAACGCGAUAAGUGUCCCGCCUGGGGAGUACGGCCGCAAGGCUAAA
rnacentral:rRNA from 1 species